GAUGAAGAACGCAGCGAAAUGCGAUAAGUAAUGUGAAUUGCAGAAUUCAGUGAAUCAUCGAAUCUUUGAACGCACAUUGCGCCCGCCAGUAUUCUGGCGGGCAUGCCUGUUCGAGCGUCAUUACAACCCUCAGGCCCCCGGGCCUGGCGUUGGGGAUCGGCGGAGCCCCCCGUGGGCACACGCCGUCCCCCAAAUACAGUGGCGGUCCCGCCGCAGCUUCCAUCGCGUAGUAGCUAACACCUCGCGACUGGAGAGCGGCGCGGCCACGCCGUAAAACACCCCAAACUUCUGAAAUGUUGACCUCGGAUCAGGUAGGAAUACCCGCUGAACUUAAGCAUAUCAAUAAGCGGAGGA
rnacentral:misc_RNA from 1 species